CUGAGUUGAUGAUGAUACGAAGUUAUCCCUGUCUGAAGACAGAGGUGUUUGUGUGUGGAGCUUGGCUUUCUGAAGCUCAG
ensembl:snoRNA SNORD1B small nucleolar RNA R38